GGAGAGAUGGCUCAGUGGUUAAGAGCACUGACUGCUCGUCCAGAGGUCCUGAGUUCAAUUCCCAGCAACCACA
rnacentral:tRNA from 1 species